CUCAAAUUUCAGAAAAUAAUAUCUUCAAGUAAAACUUCCCCAUCCUCAGUAGAACAAGCAAGCCUUUGUAUGUUCCAGUACUGACACAGAAUGCAGAUUGUGAAGAGCAUCUUAAACAUGGAAAGAAAUAAAUGAUUGUAUGAUUUUAAUAUUUUAAUAUGAUUUAAUACAGGAUACAGCAAAACAUACAAGGCAGCAUUUCUUCAGUAAAGUCUGAAUGGCCAGGGAAGAAACUUACUAUGAAAAUUACACCAGAGCCUUUGUCAAAUAGUGGAGAUAAAUUAUCUAAGUUAACAGAAGGGAGCAGACUGUGUUUGAUGGUUACAGAACAGGAGUUGAAGUUAAAGAACAGCACCAAGACAGAAGGAAAGAAUUCAGAGUACUGGGGGUCAAAACAUAUAUUUAAAGAAACAGACCGUAGGUAGGAGUUUUAUUCCCAUUUCUGCCCUUUACUUGCAACAUGACCUUGAGUUAGUCUCUUGACUUCUCUGAUUUCUCUGGUUUGGCAAAAUGCCCAUUGCCAUUGCCCAUUUCCCUUGCACAAAAUGCUCAUUAAACAAAAGAAGGUUCCACUGAUAUAUUUUUUUUCCCAUUGGAAACAAAGGAACACUGAACCACCAAGCAUUUUAAGUAAAGAAAUACUGAAAAUUUUUAAAAAAUAAUAAUAAAUAAAUAAAAUUCCAUAUUGAAUUCUUUAUUUACAUUUCCCAUCAAGUAUGAAAUAUCUUCAAGGUCUGCAAGCACCUUCUGCAAAAACAUUUGUCAAAACACCAUUUUGCCAUCAAAACCAAAUUUUACUAAAAAAAAUGUAGAAAAAACUUGGCCAACCAGCAACAUCAUAACAUGCCUGUCCACCAACAUAACAUGAUACAAGAGUUGUGGGUGCACAACCGGGUGCUGUGGAGGGUGAUUGCAAAGUGGCAAGUGGGACCAUGCCCUCCCCAGAAAAGGCUGAAGUCCCACAGGAGCCAGACAAGGCCAGCAGGCCCCGGGCUGGCAGUCAGGGCCACCACCAAUCUGUGGAACCAGCAGGACCAGGGUGAGGCUGGUGAGGCAAGUGAGCUGGCCUGGAUUCACCAGGUGCUCAGCUAUUGCUUCUGCUGGAUCCAGCCUAGAUAA
rnacentral:lncRNA from 1 species